GCGUGAGCCACUGCGCCCAGCCGAUAACUGUCAGUUUCUAAUAAAGUGAAACAUGCACCUACUCUAUGACCUAGUGUUUGUACUCCAUGGUAUGUACCGAAGAGAAAUGAAACAAUAUGUCCACAAAAUAGGCUUGCAGAUUCACAGGUUUAUUAACAAUAGUCCCAAACUGGAAACAAUCCAAAUACCAACAAGAGAACGAAUAAACAAAUUUGUACAAUACACUACUACUCAUUAAUAAAUUACGACUCAUUACUGUUAGGUGCAACAUGGAUGAAUUUCAAAACAUCAUGUUGAGAAACAAGGCAGACAAGGAAGUAUGUAUGACUCUAUUUCUAUGAAGUUCAAGGCUAGGUACAACUAAUGUAUGGUGAUGGGAAAUCAGCACAGUGGCUGCCUCAGGGGUAGUGACUGGAGAGAGGCAUGAGUGAACUUUCUAGAGUAAUGAAAAUGUUUUACAAUAUCUUAAUUUGGGUGAUGGUAACAUGAGUGUUUACAUUUGUCAGGAUUUAUCAAACUGCCUAGUUAAGAUCUGGGUAAUUUUAUUGAAUACAGACUAUAACAAUGAAAAAAAACUGAGAAAGUUAUUGAUAUUCUCUUGAGUGAUGAGUGCAUAGGUGGUGCCUUUUAAACUUGUAAACACAUGCUACAUAUGUGAUAUACUUUUUUUUUUUUUUUUUUUUUUUGGAGACAGAGUUUCACUCUUGUUGCCCAGGCUGGGGUGCAGUGGCGUGAGCUCACUGCAACCUCCGCCUCCAGGCUUCAAGCGAUUCUCCUGUCUCAACCUCCCAAGUAGCUAGGACUACAGGCAGGCACCGUCACGCUUGGCUAAUUUUUGUAUUUUUAGUAGAGAAAGGGUUUCACCAUAUUGGCCUAUUUUCUUUUCUUUCUUUUUUUUUUUUUUUGAGACGGAGUCUCGCUCUGUCGCCCAGGCUGGAGUGCAGUGGCAC
rnacentral:lncRNA from 10 species